rnacentral:lncRNA from 1 species
GGACUGUGGGUCUUGGUUUCCUCUUGGUCCUUUAGGAUGACGUUCCUCUUAAGUCCUGUGAAUGUACUGCCCAGCCUCGACUGUGAAGGUGCUGAGAACCAGUCAGCGGGCUCCCAGACGGGCCCCCUGGGUCCUUCUGAUGCUAGCAGACUACAUCACUAGAGAUGAUACGUCAUCUCCUCCCGGCCUGCUGCUGUCUGAUUAGCCUUCCUGCACCCACUCCCACCUCCUAGAAUAGAGGCUAAACCGAGACAGUGUUUCCAAGAACGACCAGGUCAGUGUUUUAAUCUAAGCUCUGAGCACACUUGAGCAAGCAGGAACAUUUUUAUACUCCCUUGCCUGAGGGCAGGUGGCUGAUCUGUCUCACUAGUGUUAGAACAGUAGGAUCAUGGGAAAGCAGAUAUCACCCAAGGACACUGGAAAGAAUGUAACAGGAGGUGGGUCUGACACACCACCACAGGACCAUGGGGUCUGGCCACUGUCCUUCCUCAUCUCUUCUCACUCUGGGCUUCUCCAGAGAUCACAAGCAGAAGAGAGCUGAAGACCAGCCUCUGAUGGAACUGAGGAGGGGUCCUGACCCUCUUCUCCCACAGCUGUUUCACAGGAAACUUUUUAUUUAUAGGACGCAUGUCUUUCGUGUUAAGAAACCAAAGAGAAAUAAAGAGAACACUCCUAAUACUCUUGC